GGACUACUGGGGUAUCUAAUCCUGUUUGAUCCCCGCACUUUCGAGUCUCAGUGUCAAUGUUGGGCCAGAUCGCCGCCUUCGCCACCGGUGUUCCUCCAGAUAUCUACGUAUUUCACCACUACACCUGGAAUUCCACGAUCCUCUCCCACAUUCAAGCUUCGCAGUAUCAAAAGCACUUCCAAGGUUAAGCCUUGGGCUUUCACUCCUGACUUACAAAGCCACCUACACUCGCUUUACGCCCAAUGAUUCCGAGCAACGCUUGGACCCCUCGUCUUACCGCGGCUGCUGGCAC
rnacentral:rRNA from 1 species